rnacentral:rRNA from 1 species
CUUGAAAUACCACCCUUUAAUGUUUGAUGUUCUAACGUUGACCCGUAAUCCGGGUUGCGGACAGUGUCUGGUGGGUAGUUUGACUGGGGCGGUCUCCUCCUAAAGAGUAACGGAGGAGCACGAAGGUUGGCUAAUCCUGGUCGGACAUCAGGAGGUUAGUGCAAUGGCAUAAGCCAGCUUGACUGCGAGCGUGACGGCGCGAGCAGGUGCGAAAGCAGGUCAUAGUGAUCCGGUGGUUCUGAAUGGAAGGGCCAUCGCUCAACGGAUAAAAGGUACUCCGGGGAUAACAGGCUGAUACCGCCCAAGAGUUCAUAUCGACGGCGGUGUUUGGCACCUCGAUGUCGGCUCAUCACAUCCUGGGGCUGAAGUAGGUCCCAAGGGUAUGGCUGUUCGCCAUUUAAAGUGGUACGCGAGCUGGGUUUAGAACGUCGUGAGACAGUUCGGUCCCUAUCUGCCGUGGGCGCUGGAGAACUGAGGGGGGCUGCUCCUAGUACGAGAGGACCGGAGUGGACGCAUCACUGGUGUUCGGGUUGUCAUGCCAAUGGCACUGCCCGGUAGCUAAAUGCGGAAGAGAUAAGUGCUGAAAGCAUCUAAGCACGAAACUUGCCCCGAGAUGAGUUCUCCCUG